rnacentral:lncRNA from 1 species
AUGAAAUUACAAUGUAGUUCUAUAAUUAGCGUAUGCAAAACUUCUACAUUUCAGUCAAGCAACACAAAUACUUAGCGAUUUUAGUGUUUUUCUUCGUUUAUUUACAAGAAAAAGUAUUGCUUCAGGUGCUUAUUUAAUACUUGUUUACAAAACAAACAUAAAACCAAGUAAAAAGUGUUAAAUUAAACCGGCAAGACUUGUUUGACUUCAUCCCGGUAAGCGGGCUGGCGUGUUCAUAUGGAAAAUUUUUUAUCCCGCCUACCUAUGAUCUCGGCAAAUUCAAACGAGAUCUCGGCAAGCGGGCCAGCUCGCUUUCUCAUAUGAACACAAUGCAAAAUUUUAUAGGAA